CCUACGGGUGGCAGCAGUGAGGAAUAUUGGUCAAUGGACGAGAGUCUGAACCAGCCAAGUAGCGUGAAGGAUGACUGCCCUAUGGGUUGUAAACUUCUUUUAUAAAGGAAUAAAACGAGGCACGUGUGCCUUUUUGCAUGUACUUUAUGAAUAAGGAUCGGCUAACUCCGUGCCAGCAGCCGCGGUAAUACGGAGGAUCCGAGCGUUAUCCGGAUUUAUUGGGUUUAAAGGGAGCGUAGAUGGGUUGUUAAGUCAGUUGUGAAAGUUUGCGGCUCAACAGUAAAAUUGCAAUUGAUACUGGCAGUCGUGAGUACAGUUGAGGUAGGCGGAAUUCGUGGUGUAGCGGUGAAAUGCUUAGAUAUCACGAAGAACCCCGAUUGCGAAGGCAGCUUACUAAACUGUGACUGACAUUGAUGCUCGAAAGUGUGGGUAUCAAACAGGAUUAGAUACCCCAGUAGUC
rnacentral:rRNA from 1 species